AGAGUUUGAUCCUGGCUCAGAACGAACGUUAGCGGCGCGCCUAACACAUGCAAGUCGCGCGAGAAAGGGCUUCGGCCCCGGUAAAGCGGCGCACGGGUGAGUAACACGUAGGUAACCUGCCCCUUGGUGGUGGAUAACCUUCCGAAAGGAGGGCUAAUACAGCAUAUGACCACGUCCUCGCGAGAGGAUGAGGUAAAAGCCGGCCUCUUCAUGAAAGCUGGUGCCAGGGGAUGGGCCUGCGGCCCAUCAGCUAGUUGGUAGGGUAACGGCCUACCAAGGCAAAGACGGGUAGCUGGUCUGAGAGGAUGAUCAGCCACACUGGAACUGAGACACGGUCCAGACUCCUACGGGAGGCAGCAGUGGGGAAUCUUGCGCAAUGGACGAAAGUCUGACGCAGCAACGCCGCGUGCAGGAUGAAGGCCCUUUGGGUUGUAAACUGCUGUAGAAAGGGAAUAAUAGUUUGCCACGGGUGAACUUGAAGGUACCUUUAAAGUAAGCGCCGGCUAACUACGUGCCAGCAGCCGCGGUAAUACGUAGGGCGCAAGCGUUGUCCGGAUUCACUGGGUGUAAAGGGUGCGCAGGCGGAUUGGCAAGUCAGAGGUGAAAUCUCACGGCUCAACCGUGAAACUGCCUUUGAUACUGCUUAUCUUGAGUUCGGGAGAGGUUGAUGGAAUUCCAGGUGUAGCGGUGAAAUGCGUAGAUAUCUGGAAGAACACCAGUGGCGAAGGCGGUCAACUGGCCCGCAACUGACGCUCAUGCACGAAAGCGUGGGGAUCAAACAGGAUUAGAUACCCCGGUAGU
rnacentral:rRNA from 1 species